CUUAGAACUCCCGCUGUGGGAACAGUGGGCACAGGGUCCAUUCCAAAGAUGGGAGGGCUGGAGGAGCCUCCGAUUGCCCGGGUUCAACUCACGUGUCAAUCAACCGUUACAUUCUUUCAGUGACUUCCCCUAACAACUCCUUGUGCUGAGCAGGAUUUCCUGGGGCUCUGACACUUGCCAGUCCUCCAGUGUGGGUCAAGCAAGACCCGUUCUUUGACCAGACCCAGUGCGUCUUGUGAAUCUUCCUUCUCCCUCUGUUUGCUGACCAUCAGGUGUUAGAAAUCCGUGGCUCCACAGGUGACCUGACAGCACCGUGGACCUCUGCAUCCUCUCCUUGUCAUCCUUCUGGAUUUAACUGCUGUCCCGUGAGGCGCAAUGUCUUUGUGGUCAUGUACAGUUGUAAGAGUUGGACCAUCAAGAAGGGGUAUCUCAUCAUGGCUGCUCCAGGAAAGCACAGCCGCUGCUCCUUACCUUGGACGAGGUUGCCCCUCCUGACCUUGGAUGUGGGGUAGCUCGUCUCGGCUGCUCCUGCGCUGUUGCAGCCUGGUGCUCUCGGUUGCCACCCCUAACCCUGGGCUUCUGCGUGGUCUGUCAUAGCUGCCAUACUCAUUGAUGCAG
ensembl:lncRNA